rnacentral:rRNA from 2 species
GCAAACUGCGAAUACCGGAGAAUGUUAUCACGGGAGACACACGGCGGGUGCUAACGUCCGUCGUGAAGAGGGAAACAACCCAGACCGCCAGCUAAGGUCCCAAAGUCAUGGUUAAGUGGGAAACGAUGUGGGAAGGCCCAGACAGCCAGGAUGUUGGCUUAGAAGCAGCCAUCAUUUAAAGAAAGCGUAAUAGCUCACUGGUCGAGUCGGCCUGCGCGGAAGAUGUAACGGGGCUAAACCAUGCACCGAAGCUGCGGCAGCGACGCUUAUGCGUUGUUGGGUAGGGGAGCGUUCUGUAAGCCUGCGAAGGUGGCCUGUGAGGGUUGCUGGAGGUAUCAGAAGUGCGAAUGCUGACAUAAGUAACGAUAAAGCGGGUGAAAAGCCCGCUCGCCGGAAGACCAAGGGUUCCUGUCCAACGUUAAUCGGGGCAGGGUGAGUCGACCCCUAAGGCGAGGCCGAAAGGCGUAGUCGAUGGGAAACGGGUUAAUAUUCCCGUACUUGGUGUUACUGCGAAGGGGGGACGGAGAAGGCUAUGUUGGCCGGGCGACGGUU